GUAAAUAGUAAAGGUUGUAAAAAUGGCAGCACGAAACGAAACAAAGGGAAAGACCGUUUGUUAAAGUUUAAAUCAGGAAUCAGUGGCACUCAUUUUCUAAAAUAAGAAAACAACGGAAACAUAGCUUAAUGCUGUCGUCUCUUUGGGUGGUCGAUGCGUUAGGUCCCUAAUGCGAGACGGUAAAAAAUACAAAACAACUUGUAGAUUUUGUAGAUACUGUAGAUUUUAAGGCGAAGACACUUCACUUGGGAUAUGGUUAGCGGCACUGGUCCAACGUUACUACAUGACAACCGAUUUCAAUGUUUUCAUGCAUGUAAACAUGGCAUGCUGAGCUCACCUGAAAACAAUUUAUAUGAACUUGAGCAGCUUUAUAAGAACGUAAAUAUAACCACAUCUUUAUGUGAUGCGCUACCAUAGCGAUGAGCGGUGCUUGAAAAUAUUAGUAUGGCUGUCCAAAUUGACACGCAGGCAUGACAUCAGAAAACAAAGCCUGGGGACGAGGAUGUUUUUAUUGUCUAAAUGACAUUGGUUGGUUGCUUUGGGAUAAAGUGUAUAUGGUCUUGUAUACACACUUUCGGAAAGGAAAUUUCCUCUGCAAAAACUCAAUUGUGUCUGAUAUUUUUAAACAUGCAUGUAUAAUAUAAGACUUAUUUAAAAUAAAUAAAACAAGACGUACAGUAUA